AGAGUUUGAUCCUGGCUCAGAACGUACGCUGGCGGCACGCCUAACACAUGCAAGUCGAACGAAGUAGCAAUACUUAGUGGCAGACGGGUGAGUAACAUGUAGGUAUCUGCCCUUUGGCCUGGAAUAACACGAGGAAACUUGUGCUAAUACCGGAUAAGUCUUUACGGAGAAAGCUUUAUGCACCAUUGGAUGAGCCUGCACUUGAUUAGUUUGUUGGUGGGGUAAUGGCCUACCAAGACUGUGAUCAAUAGCUGAUUUGAGAGGAUGAUCAGCCACAUUGGGACUGAGACACGGCCCAAACUCCUACGGGAGGCAGCAGUGGGGAAUCUUGCACAAUGGAGGAAACUCUGAUGCAGCGAUGCCGCGUGAGUGAAGAAGGCCCUUGGGUUGUAAAGCUCUUUCGUCGGGGAAGAAAAUGACUGUACCCGAAUAAGAAGGUCCGGCUAACUUCGUGCCAGCAGCCGCGGUAAU
rnacentral:rRNA from 1 species